rnacentral:rRNA from 1 species
ACUCCUACGGGAGGCAGCAGUAGGGAAUCUUCCACAAUGGACGCAAGUCUGAUGGAGCAACGCCGCGUGAGUGAAGAAGGUUUUCGGAUCGUAAAGCUCUGUUGUUGGUGAAGAAGGAUAGAGGUAGUAACUGGCCUUUAUUUGACGGUAAUCAACCAGAAAGUCACGGCUAACUACGUGCCAGCAGCCGCGGUAAUACA